rnacentral:rRNA from 1 species
AUGACCCUACGGGAGGCAGCAGUGGGGAAUAUUGCACAAUGGGGGAAACCCUGAUGCAGCGACGCCGCGUGAGUGAAGAAGCGCCUCGGCGCGUAAAGCUCUGUCAGCAGGAACGACGAUGACGGUACCUGAAGAAGAAGCCCCGGCUAACUACGUGCCAGCAGCCGCGGUAAUACGUAGGGGGCAAGCGUUAUCCGGAUUUACUGGGUGUAAAGGGAGCGUAGACGGCGGGGCAAGUCUGGAGUGAAAGGCCGGGGCCCAACCCCGGGACCGCUCUGGAAACUGCCCGGCUGGAGGGUGGGGGG